CGCGUCCACUGGGCGGAUGUGUCAUAAGUCUGUGUUACAGCAGUGAGUAGUGAAUGUGAAUGUGUUGUUGGCUUCGGAAAUACUUUCUCUUUCGAGCGCGUUUUCUGUGCCAGUGAAAGUGUGUGGCGGUCAGUCAGUGAAAGUGCGCUGAUGAACAACGUCUCUGGCAGGAGUAAUGUAGACAUCGGCUCGAGCUGAUACUGUAGAUACAGGUUUAGGUUCGUUAGGAACACACUGAGCUGUUGAAAUGCGAACGGACUGAAUGAAAAGCGCCGAGAUGACUUUUGCUCCUGGAGUUCGCUCUGUUUUCUUCAGAGGAUUUUCACUUGCGUUAAUGCUGUUAUCGACAUGCUCGCGCAGCGAUCUCGCUGAUAUUACUGUUCAUGGCACGGAUGGAGAAGCAGCAUCUCUUCCCUGCAAGUGUCCUCCGGACUGGCCUCCGUAUCUGGUCUGGCAGAAGGUCGCUGGUGAACAGCGGCUCGUGGUUAAUUACUACAAAGAUGACGACCAAGAAGGCAACCUCAUGGCAUCCGAGUUCAGGAACAGAACGGAGCUGAAGCUGAGAGGAAACUGUUCUCUAGUGUUUCACAGAGUGAGUCUGUCAGACCAGGGACUGUACGAGUGCUUCUAUAAGAUAUCACCGUUAAGUCUUGAAAAAAUCCAUCUGGUCAUCAGAGAAAAACAACAACAAAUACCCGGUCAGAAGGUCCAGAGCACCCUUGUGACUUCAGUUUGCGUGUUUCUCAUCAUUGUCAUCGCAAUUGCUGCUCUAUAUGUGGGAAUUACUUGCAGAAAUAGACAUCAAAUGAGAAGUAAGUUUUUUUCUGUAUUCAUUGCAAUUAAAAGAAAUGUCCGCUUACAAUAAGCAGCUCUUAGCUGUAGUAUGUGAACUCUUCUUGCACUAUGCUGUUGGUUUAAAAGUUCUGUGACGGUCACAUUUAGAUGAAAUCUGAGCUUAUGAUCAGCGUUGUACCUGUGAUUUAUGGUGUUUUUCUUUCUUUGCAGGAACAUUUAUUGCAACAUCAAGCAGGAGCAUUUAACAGCUGUCAAUUCAGAGCAAGAUCUAGAUCUAUAGCUACUUUUGAGUGGCUUUUCACCGAUGAUAGCAAAUGCAACAAACAAAACAACAAAAUGCACAAGCUCACACACGUCGUGCAGUUCUUAUGCGGGUGACCCAUUUCACUUGUUAACCCACUACAAACAUUUCCUGCCACUUAAAUCACCGCUGACAAGAUGGGCUUUUAAUAAAAGCUGGCCGUCUAUGCAAUAAAAAAACACUUAAAAAAAAAAAAAAAAACUAGACUAGAGAAUACAAAAAUGCACACAAGUAUAAUCUGUAGUUUUCAGACUUUUGUUAACAAUUAAACGGGGAUUUCUUGUAUAGGUCUCACUGAUAAAGAAUAUACAUUGUGCAUUUACUUAUACUACUGAUAUUGUUACAGUGCAAAGUUGGUUGGAAAUCGGCAAACUUACCCUGUAAAAAUGAAAUAGUCCAUAACAAUAAUGCAACUGUGAAUGCCAAGCACUGGCUAAUAAUUUCACUUAUGCUUUAACAUGAUUAUUAUUGCUUUUUUUGCUGUUUGAAGGCCUCAUAUCAAGACCAGUCAAGUGUGUUUUGAAGUAAAAGAGGCUGAUGUUCUAUUAAAACGUAAAAUUUGUCCAAAACAUUAAAUGUGAGUGAACCUCAGAGAAAAGAUCAAAUACAAAUAAUAAUGUAUAUGUUUCCUUUAACACAUACUUUCUGUUCAAUUACACUUUACAUCAUUAUGUUUGACUUUUCACAUGCAAAAAACCUCAUAUAUUACAUGUAAGUCAUAUUCUUAUGAAUAUAUAGAGUACAUAACCAAAGCAAAGAUGUACAUUAAGCAUAUUUACUCAGUGGAUUUAUAAAGUCCUGUCAGUUCAACAAAAAAAAUCCAUAGUUUAUGUUUCUGUUUUAAGAACAGUGUGGUUUCUGUCUCAAUAACAUCAUUAUUAUGACUGCAGUAAAACUCAUAAUUUGGUAUUCGUCAAAAAAAGGGAAAACCUAAAAUGACAGAAAGAUUAUAGGACAUCCUAUAAAUGUAUUAUGACUUUGAGUUUAUUAUGAAUCUCCGCUACAUGCAUGUAAACGUUAUGUUGAAAUCGUGGAUGUUGGAGAUGAAUAGAUUUCUGGCAAGGUUCUCUCAAACUAUAUGAUGAAUGUUCUAAGAAACGUUUUUGUUACAUUUAAAUAACGUUCAAAUCAUGACAAGAAAACUAGACCGUUUAAGGAUCAAAGAAUAUUUUUUUGGGGAAAAUAGAGUUCGUAGAACGUUGUAACCUUUAAAUAGCAUUCUAAUAACAAGAUAAUUUUUUUUUUACAAUGUUCCCACAAUGUUUUUAUAACCUAAAUUAGUUACCUAGGUAGCUUUAAAGAACAUUCAAAAUAACAUUCCCAUAAUGUUUGCAAAAUGAUAGAAUGAAAUAUUUCAUUCAUGAUUUCUAUAACGUUCAGAUAACCACGAAAAAAAAAAAGAUUUUAAACCUUUAAACAAAUUACAUUUUCAUAACUUAACAGGAACUUUAUCAGAAUGUUCUUAAAACAUAUUUACGUUAUCUAGGAUUGUGAACUUCAAAAUAACACUUUUAUCUUUGCUGUUAUUGUCACUUCAUGUAUGUAGAUAAUCGACAUGAUUGUUUGUCAGCAUUGCACUGAUACUGACCACAAUAUCUCUGCAGAAAAUAUGUUGAUAUUCACUUAUUUGCAUGUGAUAUUCACUUUCAUUCUGACCAAGAGUCACUGUGUGUGUGUUUUGUCAGACCAUUAAUGAAUGUAGUCAUAUGGCAGGAAUGCCUAACCCAGAUUUCUGUGUGUGUUUGUGUAAGCCGUCUUGCAGUCUUGCAUUUAUUGUUUUUUUAAGCAGUUUUUUACAGUGAUGUUGAUGUAAUGUGGGAUGUAUUAGAUCUAUGUUUACUUACUGGAAUGAACACAGAUUCUUGGCAACAUAAAUGUGCAUGUGUUUUACAAAGAGCAAGUUUGUAUAUUCUGUUCUUUUAUAUAUAUUAAUACUGAACCUGUUUGAUUUAAUAUGUUUUGGCGUGUAUAAAGUAUCCCAGCUAACAAGGAACAUUCAGAGAACUUUGCUUUACAUUCUUCCAGAAAGGUUCAUAGAAAGUUCAUUAAAAGUUCAUCCAAAUGUUAGCACACAAAUAUCAUUCAUACACAUCAUUCAUGGAAUGAUUUUUAUUUCUGAAACAUUUUAGUUGGACGUUCGUCCAACAUUUUUUGAAUGUUACUUGUUUCAGAACGUUCCGAGAACAUUCAAAAGCAACGUUCCAUAAUGUUUCCAAAUGAUAAAAUGGAAUGUUGGCAUAAACAAGCAUUUAAAACAUUUGAAAACAUUCAGAAAUGUUAUACCAUGCCUGCAUGCCAGAUAAUUAAGAUCCAGAUCCAGUCAGAAGGUAUUCGUUUUGUCCGGUAACAGAAUGACUUUUCAGCAAAAUUACCUAAUACCCAAAACCUGUUAACAGCAAGUCUUGUCUGGUAUCCAAAAUACCCAAAACCUGUAUUAACAGGAGACAAAGUGAUGAUGAUUAAAAAAGAGCACAGUUUAUUGAAGAAUCUUAGUUGUGUAUGUUUCAAUGCUCAGACUUCGUCUAAACAGGACAAAUUCAACAAGUACUGUUAUACCAAACAACAUCCCAUUAACCUUGAGUUUCCAUAAACAUUCACUUGUAUCUCUUAUUCAUGAUUACAAACAGCCCUUUAAACCUACAUUCAUAAGACUAAACAACAGUGGGAAAAUAACACAAAAAACAAUAAUAUCAUUUAAUGUUAAUGACUAAUCAAUUAAUGAAUCAACGAAAUUAGUGUGUUGAUGCUAAAACGAUGAUAUGCUGAAAUUGAAAACUUUAUAUCAAACUGAAAAUGUUGUGUGUUUAUGAAUGUUCACUAAACUUUAAAGGAUAAGUUGACUUCCAGAAUAAAAAUGUCCUGAUAAUUUACUGACCCACAUGUCAUGUUCACGUCUUUCUUUCUUCUGUUAAGAAAAGGUGAUUAAGAGGAUUAUUAUUAUUCUUUUUCAUAUUUAAUUUCUCUCUCUCUCUCUCUCUCUCUCUCUCUCUCUCUCCAUGACUUCAAUGGGAUUCAACCAGGAUCAAAGGUAAAAUUGCAGCUUUAGUGUACCUUUAAAGGGCUCUACAAAAUCCCAGCCAAGGAAUAAGGGUCUUAUCUAGCUAGACAACCAGUCAUUUUCUAAAAUAAUACAAAUAUGUGACCCUCGAGCACAAAAGCAGUCAUUAGUAGCACAAGUAUAUUUGUAGCAAUAGACAACAAGACAUUGUAUGGGUCACAAUUAUAGAUUUUUCUUUUUUUGCCAAAAAUCAUUAGGAUAUUAAGAUCAUGUUCCAUGAAGAUAUUUUGUAAAUUUCCUACCAUACAUAAAUCAAAACUUAAUUUCUGAUUAGUAAUAUGCAUUGCUAAGAACUUCAUUUGAACAACUUUAAAGGUUAUUUUCUCAUUUUUAGCAUGGAGUAAAAUCCUGAAAUGUUUUCCUCAAAAACCUUCAUUUCUUUUCGACUGAAGAAAUAAAGACAUGAACAUGACAUGGGGGUGAGUAAAUUAUCAGGUCGUUUUUUUUUUUUUUUGGAAGUGAACUAAUCCUUUAACAUUUGUUCUUAGCGGUUUGAUCACAUCACUAGUGUUGAGUGAAGAGUGACUGAUAUCGUGUCACAUUUCUGCUUGACACUUGAAGUUUCAGUGAUUAGUGAACACUGAGGCACUCGUGCAUGAGAUGAGUGUGAAACGCAGGAUUAAAUGUCAAUGCUGGUGGCAAAAUUCUUACAAAAAAAAAAGUUCUGACAGGCGACCUGAAAAAUUGUUUGAUGUGGUAACAUCUAAACGAACAGGUUUUAUUCAGGAUGAAUGUGUAAUACAAUUAGAGUAAAUCAUGUUGAUAGACAUAGUGUUUAUCUUGUCACGGGUCAUUUGACACAAACUAAAUUUUCAAACUGUUUCAAAAUACUUGAUGAAAUUUCCAUGAAUAUGCAUGCAAAUUUUGACACAUAGAUGUGUUUCGGAAAGGCUGUACAAACCCCACUGACCCUCAUUGUUUUCCAUGCAAUUUACCAAAAAUCAACAUUUUGAAAAACACUAAAGAAUAAACACACACACACACAUGUAUGAGAACAUAUGAAAUUUAAGACUUAAAAAUUACUUAAAGAAGUCACUCUUUCUUUAUCUAUUUGAGUUUCACAGUAAAUAAAUAAACAAAUAAAAAUUAAUAAAAAAAUCAAU
ensembl:lncRNA